rnacentral:lncRNA from 1 species
AUGUGGCCCCAACCCUGCCUUCCUCCCCACCCCACGAUGUUAGAAGAAACUCAACAGAGUAAAUUGGCAGCAGCCAAGAAAAAGCUAAAAGAAUAUCAGCAGAGGAACAGCCCUGGUGUUCCAGCAGGAGUGAAGAUGAAAAAGAAAAACACUGGCAGUAGCCCUGAGACAGCCACUUUUGGUGGUUGCCACUCACCUGGGGCUAGUCGGUACCAAGAACUGGAAUUAGCCCUGGACUCAAGCUCCGCAAUAAUCAAUCAACUCAAUGAAAACAUAGAAUCAUUGAAACAACAGAAGAAACAAGUGGAACAUCAGCUGGAAGAAGAAAAGAAAACCAACAGUGAAAUACACAAAGCACAGAUGGAGCAGUUAGAGGCAAUCGACAUCCUCACAUUGGAAAAGGCAGACUUGAAGACCACCCUUUACCAUACUAAACGUGCUGCCCGACACUUCGAAGAAGAGUCCAAGGAUCUGGCUGGCCGCCUGCAAUACUCCUUACAGCGUAUUCAAGAAUUGGAGCGGGCUCUCUCUGCUGUGUCUACACAGCAGCAGGAAGAGGACAGGUCCUCGAGCUGCAGAGAAGCGGUCCUCCAGUGGCGGUUACAGCAGACCAUAAAGGAGCAGGCACUGCUGAACGCACACGUGACACAGGUGACAGAGUCACUUAAACAAGUCCAGCUAGAGAGAGAUGAAUAUGCUCAACAUAUAAAAGAAGAGAGGGCCCGGUGGCAGGAGAGGAUGUGGAAAAUGUCGGUGGGGGCUCGCACAUUGAAGAAGGAGAAGAAGCGUGUCAUACAUCAGAUACAGGAGCUGGAGAGGAGCUUGUCCAAACUCUCUAUCUGAGCCCCCAUCCCCGGCACCCCCAGCAGUGACCUCUGUGGUGGAGCAGCUACAAGAUGAGGCCAAACACCUGAGGAAGGAGGUGGAGAGUUUGGAGGGAAAGCUCCAAUCCAAGGUGGAAAACAACCAGGCCUUGAGUCUCCUGAGCAAGGAACAAAAGUAGAGGCUCCAGGAGCAGGACGAGAGGCUCCGAGAGCAGGAGGAGUGGAGGGUGCGGGAGCAGGAGAGACUGUGUGAGCAAAAUGAGAGGCUUCGGGAGCAGCAGAAGACGCUACGGGAGCAGGGUGAGAGGCUGCGAAAGCAGGAGCAGAGGCUAUGCAAGCAGGAGGAGAGGCUGCGAAAGGAGGAGGAGAGGCUGCGAAAGCAGGAAAAGAGGCUGUGGGACCAGGAGGAGAGGCUGUGGGACCAGGAGGAGAGGCUGUGGGAGAAGGAGGAGAGGCUACAAAAGCAGGAGGAGAGGCUCAUGCUCUCCCAGAACCACAAGCUCGACAAGCAGCUGGCCGAGCCACAGUGCAGCUUCGAGGAUCUGGUGGAAUAACGAGAACAAGAGCGCACUGCAGUUGGAGCAGCAAGUAAAGGAGCUGCAGGAGAGGCUGGGAACCAGCUGCCAGCCACCAGAACCAACAGCUAGAGACCCAGCUAAGCCUCGUGGCUCUCCCUGGAGAAGGAGAUGGAGGACAACAUCUGGACAGUGAGGAGGAGGAGGCGCCUCGGCCCACGCCAAACAUCCCAGAGGACCUGGAGAGCCGGGAGGCCACGCGGCUUUAUGGACCUCCCGAAGGAGAAGGUGGGCAGGAAGGAGCAGGUGGAAAAACUAGAGCUUGGAUUCAUCCAGCUCUCUGGAGCGACAGACGGCAUGAUACAUCACUGAAUAUGAGAGCCAGGGGGCAGUGCCAAACACGCGGCACCAGGAGAAGGAAGACAUCAUCAGGCUGGCCCAGAAGGAGGAGGAGAUGAAGGUAGGGCGUGAAGCUGCUGGAGCUGCAGGAGCUGGUGUUGCCCCUUGUGGGCGACCACGAGGGGCAUGGCAAAUUCCUCACCGCUGCCCAGAACCCUGCCGAUGAGCCCGCUCCAGGGGCCCCAGCCCCCCAGGAACUUGGGAUUUUUAUGAAGUGAGCCUGGACGAUAGCGAGGAGCCUGCACCGGGAGCGGCCGGGGAGGGUUCUCCCCAUGACAACCCCACUGCACAGCAGAUCGUGCAGCUGCCUCCUGUAAUGCAGGACACCCAGGA